rnacentral:rRNA from 1 species
UACAGAGGUCUCAAGCGUUGUUCGGAUUCACUGGGCGUAAAGGGCGCGUAGGCGGCUUGAUAAGUCGGGGGUGAAAGCCUGUGGCUCGACCACAGAAUUGCCUUCGAUACUGUCGAGCUUGAGACCGGAAGAGGUAAGUGGAACUGCGAGUGUAGAGGUGAAAUUCGUAGAUAUUCGCAAGAACACCAGUGGCGAAGGCGGCUUACUGGUCCGGUUCUGACGCUGAGGCGCGAAAGCGUGGGGAGCAAACAGG